UUCUAAUCACGUGCUAAUUCUUAACACAUGGUACUGCAAAGCUGGGCCACAUGGAAGCUUUCACUGGAGCUGCUGGCAAUCCUUAACAGCAAUAACAUGAUGGCUGCAGGAGCAGAUGGUGUUUGGCAUUUCCUUAAAGGCCAUGGUUUGUCUGAAGAUACCAUUUCAAAAAUGAUUCAGGACAAGAUUGAUGCUAAAAUAAUUGGACUAAUGGAUGAUGACAGUUUAACAAAGUAUGUCCCCAUCUUUGGAGACAAGACUUGCUGUAAGGCAUUACUGCAGUCAGAUUAAUCCCCAGUCAACUGAAAAAGAUGCAAAGAAACAUUUUCUGCUGGAUAAGCUUAGAAAGAAAAUGAGGCUAGCCAGUGGGAAGGAUCCACAAGAAGACUUUGUAGAGAAAAAAAGACAAGACCUGAUUUAUGGGGAAAUAGACUUGCUGAAAAAACAACUCGUAAAAUUGAAUUAGGGUGGCUGCAUGGAGGAAAGCAAUUUAGGAAAAGAGGUGGAGGUGGGACACGUGUGGUUGAUGUACCCAAGAAAGCAGAGGGAUCUGCUUUUCCUACAUGGAAAAUUAAAAAAGGGAAGUGGGAAUAUUUCACUCAUGACAUCUUAGAUUUUCAGGAAACAGCCCUAGGUGAAGGUGUUACAGUGGGAAAAAUCUACACAGUACUAAAAAUGGGAACUGUGAGAUUUUACCUUAGCAUGGAUGAGGUUCCGGGACAAAGUUUGCCAAAUUCAAACAGCGAAACCCAAAACACAGAUCUGUCUCUGAGAGGUGAAGGUACACUCAGUAAAGAGAAAGGCAAUAAAGAGUCACAUGUGAUACAGAAAAGGGCUGAUGUUCACGCACAUUUUUCUAGUAGUGAAAGACCAGAAGAGAUUAAUAUAUCUGUACUUACAGAGGAAGACAUACUUGUAGGGUACAUAGAAAUAUAUUCCAAAGACAGUUCUGGCAUGAUUCCUGUACAAGUUCUCAUUGAAAAUACUACAGCUGGAGAGCAGAGUAUGUCAGCACCACCUAAUAAUCUUACACAGGAAUAUUCUGUGACCAGUUUGGAAGAGAUUAACCAAAGCUUAGUAUCAGAAAUCCAGUUUGAGCCAUUGUUAGGAGAUCCCCAACUAUCUCAACUGGCAGACCACUUGAAGAAUCUAACCAACUUCUGAGCCAGUCGACUGAGAAUGUAAGUUGUCCCUUCUACAGAGACGGUUCUGUAGGAAGAGAACAUAGACUCAGAAGAGUAUCACAUGACCCAUACCAUGCUGUCUUCAAGAAGACCCUCCCCUCCCCCUGAAGACCAGCCUAUGAAUGCCACUAUUAGGAUACACAGAGUUAAUCUUCUGGAAAAGAUGUUUCCUCAGUUUAAGAAUCCUGAUUCAGUUAUUCUUCCAUUAAGAUUUACUUUUGUAGAUGAAGUAGGAGCUGAUGCAGCUGGUGUUUCCAGAGAUGCUUACUCUGCAUUUUGGUCAGAAUUUUUUGCAUGUAUAGCAGAAGGGGAAGAAGCAAAGGUUCCAGAACUCAUUCCUAUGUGGCAGGAAGAGGAAUGGAAGAUGGUAGGCAGAAUCUUAGAAAAGGGGUAUAUAGAUCAUAAGUACUUCCUACUUCAUCUUGCACCUGCAUGUACUGUGGUACUGAUUUUUGGAGAGCACUCUGUCACUUCUGAUAUUUUGUUUGGAUUUUUUCUUUUAUACUUAAGCCAGUUAAAACUAUCCCAAGCCAGGAAAAUCUAAAAGCUAUCCUGUUACAAGGGGCCCACAAAGAAUUGAUCCAAAAGCCAAAGUAUGCACUGAAUAACAUGUCAUAUGUCUCCAGAGCGAUUUUUAGAAGACCUUUCAUGACUGUCAAUGAAGUUGAGAAAAUGUUUGCUGAAAAGAAGCUUACAACAAGAAAAGUUUUGAAGCUGCUGCAAGCAUCACCUUCCACCAAGGAGGAAGAUCAAAGUUUGAAAUAUUUGCAGCAGUACAUCAGAGGUUUGGAUGAUGCAUCAUUAAGGAAGAUGUUACGGUUUAUGACUGGCUCUGACGUUAAAUUGAGUUCAGCUCCUUGGAGGGUUUGGCAAGGCGACCUGUUGCACACACAUGUGGGCCACUGCUAGCACUCCCUUCAACAUAGCAGGCCUAUCCUGAGUUUCGGGGCGAAAUGGAGAACAUACUAUUGUAAAAU